AGCCACAGCCAUAUCACCCUGCAGCCCAAGACCGGUUACUCACUAAAGCUAAGCAGGGCUGAGCCUGGUUAGUACCUGGAUAGAGACCACUAGGGAACACCGGGUUGCUGUUGGAA
rnacentral:rRNA from 1 species